rnacentral:lncRNA from 1 species
UCCGAUAUACAUGUUUAUUUUGAACCAUAUAAUUUUUUUAAUUAAAUUAAACAGAUACAAAAAUUAUAGAAAUUAUUCUUAUUCUAACCAUCUAUAUAAGCAAUACUGUUUGUACAUACAUGUAUAGCACUGGCUAAAUUCACGAAUUGUUGAUUUCACUCACGAUAUUGUCAAUUGUUGCAAUAAAAGGAGUAUUAGCAAAGAACUAAUAUUAAUCAAACUAGUAAGAGAUACUUCAUCACCUCAUUUACGUUAUACACCGGAUAAAUGAUAAAAAUCUUUAAAUUUGUAGCUACUUCUUUCAAGAAAAGUUAUAUUUCAGGUUUUUAGUGUAUUACAUAUUAAACGUCCUGAUCCGAUUCCUUAAAAGUCAUAUUUUAUAGCAUGACUUAUCCACAUUUUUAGCAGCCUUUAGUACAAAGUAAUUGCUACCAUUGAUCUAUAAUUAUCGCGCUUUUGAAAAGUGAAGGUCACAAUUCGAUAUAAGCACUACAACUUUGGUGGCUCUAAUUUAAAAAGUGUUGCACUGGCACAAAUUUUUGUAUGAGAAUUUGUAUUGGAUUGAGGCUUGAUGGGUAUCCAGCACGUUCAAUGCAAGUGCCCUUCACUCCCUAUUAAAUUUUCUGUUUUCAGAAAGACGCCAGCGCUCAUGCCACAGUUUUAAAAGUAUGGUCAUCAAAUUUUGCAUACUUAUUAGAAUUGACCCGCUCUUUCGAAUUCUGGUAUUUAAGGACUGGUAACAUUUGAUCGAAGUUUACUCAAAACGUGAUAAAGGUCUCUUGAUUACGAUAAUCCCAUUCACUUGAAUAUUAAAAUUCUUUUGCCAGUACUCUUUGAAAUUUUGCGACCCACAACACAUUGAAACGUUGCGGAUAAGCAAUUUUACAGAUCGCCAGUGCAUGCACGUAGUAGGUACUUUAGUAAGCUAAUGUUUAAUUACAUAACGUCACAGGCUUAGAAAAUAUGGCUAUCAUGCCAUGGAGCGUAACAAAACAAUGGGGCCGAAGAAAUUCAAGACGGCGGCAUGUACUUGACAAAGGAGCGAUUUUACUUUUUCGACAGACUUGCAUGUGGUGGUCGCUAAACUGAAAAGUUUCUUACUUCUAAACAUAGGAGAAUAACUCAGUGAAACUUGUUGAUGUAACCGGCAAGCAUCUUUUUCAUUGCCGUCAUGAUCAAUUUAAUAGUGCAGCAGACUUAAAUAGAGAAGACGUUUGUCAACGCUGGAUAGAAUUAUACUAAGAUCAAGUGUUUUAAUUCCCUCUCGAAUCUCUUUCAGAAGUAAAACAUGCAAUGCAAUCUUGGAGGAAGUCAUUUAAAGUUCCUAAAAUUGUGACUGGCUGCUUUUUUAAGUAUUGCUCUCUUUUAAUUGUACCUUUGAAAGGCCUGUGAAAUGCCUAACUCGUCUCUGUUGUCUCAACUACGUAUAUCUGUGACUCGAUCGAUGGUUUGUAUACAUGUUCAAUAUUAAAAAGGAUCAGCGCGAAAUUGUUAGGAAGGGUAUCGGAGUGUAUAUAAAGGAAAAAGUUGUUACCAAAUUUUUGCAUUUUUUUUUAAAUCUGCCUUUUCAACUGUUUUCCAUUGUCGUAUAUUUAAAAUAUACAUAAUACCAACAUGGUGUUCAACUCUAUUAAAUUUGCCCAAAAGGGCGAUCUUGGUCGUGCAACGGUUCCUUGUGUUUAAAAUUAAUUGUUCAUAAUUUAAUUAAAAUAAUUAUCUAGCAUUUACCCCCAACUCCCAAGGUGUCUCGAUAUUGAUUCCGAAAAAUUGGGUCUUUGUGACAACUUUGAUUUUUUGCGCAAUUUAUUUAUUUUAUUAUUUUAUAAAUUCGUUUAGAUUUGGUAAUUAUAGAGCGUUUGCACUCAUUCCCCAGGGACCAACUCAACAAAAUCCAUGGUGGCCAUGUUGGUUUUCCAGACAAAAGAAUUUAAUUAAAUUAUUUUGAAUUGGAAUACCAACAUGGUGGCUGUGACGUCGUGUGCAAACGCUCUAUAGCCACUCAAUUUUUGACACGAAACGUGAAAUUAGUGUUUUCUCAGCCCCGCUCGUCCCUGUAGAUAUUUAGAAGCUGCUAGCCAAAUACCAUUUGGCUUUCUAAGAAUGGGUUAUUCGUUUCAAAUUUAAAAGCUGCCGGUGAGCAUUGGAUGCAUGCAAUGAUAAAUUGAUAAUUUGAAACAAAAUUUUAUAAACAAACAGAAAAUUGGGAAUGGCCAUGCAAAACCAAAAAUUAUAAAGACCGCUUUCCUUGAACCUUGCCAUGCCUGUGACGCUUUCCAAUAGAGAUUAUGCAUUUCAUUAACUAUAAAUCAUUCUAAAAGCUAUCACACUAAAAAUUAUUACCGGAACGUAGCUACUAAAUAGUUUGAUGCUGCAUAUACAACAAUAAAACAAUUAUAAAUCAAUCACUAAAUGAAAGAAAAGUUUGAAUUAAACGUUCAGUAUUGAAAUAACUUUUAACAGAACUUUGCGACUGUUUAUAUAUAUGGAAGCUGGACUGGCCCACUUUGAGCAGCCACGCAGGUAAGCGAGAACUAGACGCGUAGACAUGUAAUUAUUUUCAUAGUACAAUAUUGCGUUUAUACGAACCUAUGCAACUUAGACCUAUGUAAGUAUAGUUAGUCUUGUUAUAAAAGUUAUGUUUAACUUAUAGAAAAAGGUUAGCAAAUUUUCAAAAUCAUGUGUAAAAAAAGCCCCUUUAUAAUGUAUAUAUAUUUUACUAUUUUGACACUAACGUAUAACGGACUUUCAUGCUUGUUCGUCAUUUAAAUGUUAAAGCAGCGUGGAUUAUUAUCGAUUAUUAUUAUUAUUUUAAUAGAGGUAAGGUAUAUUGAAAUAAAUUUAAAAUAAACAGUACAAAAUAAUGAUAUACGACUUCAACACUGAACUCAAACUCUUUCACAUUUCUAUUAAUUGAAUACUUAAGAAAACGUGAUUAAAUAUUCUGGAUAAUAUUGAUUAUCAUAAAACAUAACAAAGAUUGUGGGAGUAUUUACGUUGUUGACGACGGAAUCGUAGGAAUCAUUGCUAUUACCUCCUUUGGUUGGGGGCACCAGCAUUGAUGAGUUACCGACGGUGUAUUGCCCAACCGCAACCCUUGCCACAUACAUAAAUCUCUUUGACGUCGUCGGGUCUACCUUAGCGUAACCAGUGGACAUUUGAGCAUCCCUUGCAAAAUAAACACCUUUACCAAAAGCAAUUCC